rnacentral:rRNA from 1 species
GACGAGCCGUCCAAACGUUAUUCGGAAUCACUGGGCUUACAGAGUUCGUAGGCGGUCUGGAAAGUUGGGUGUGAAAUCCCUCGGCUCAACCGAGGAACUGCGCUUGAAACUACCAGACUCGAGGGAGAUAGAGGAAAGCGGAACUGAUGGUGGAGCGGUGAAAUGCGUUGAUAUCAUCAGGAACACCGGUGGCGAAGGCGGCUUUCUGGGUCUUACCUGACGCUGAGGAACGAAAGCCAGGGGAGCGAACGGG